rnacentral:rRNA from 1 species
UACGAAGGGGGCUAGCGUUGUUCGGAAUUACUGGGCGUAAAGCGCGCGCAGGCGGCUAUCCAAGUCAGUGGUGAAAGCCCGGAGCUCAACUCCGGAACUGCCAUUGAAACUGUUUAGCUUGAGGACGAGAGAGGUGAGUGGAAUUCCCAGUGUAGAGGUGAAAUUCGUAGAGAUCGGGAGGAACACCAGAGGCGAAAGCGGCGACCUGGACAGGCACUGACACUCAACUACGAAAGCGUGGGGAGCAAACAGG